CGCUCCAUGGAGGCGCCAAGGAGAAGGCCUGGGAAGGGAACAGUGAGCCUUCCCUGGUGGAGGGUCUCCUCAGGCAGUGGGGAGACCACCUUUUGCAUGCAACAGGACUUACCAGUUACUAUUGGCACCGGAACCACUGAGAUACAUGAGAAAACAGAAAUGGAACUAAAGGAAGAUGGAAAAAUAGAAAACAGAGACCCCCAAGAGGUUGAACGGCUUGCCGAGAAUCAUGACCAGCUGGGAGGCCAGUUCUGACACCAGAGGUCCUGACGGCAGGGCCAGCACCAUUUUCUGUAGACAUAGUAUCUUCUAAAAGGCAUUUAUCAUUUUUUUUCCUUUCAGAAUUAGAGCAAUGAAGACUAAACUCCUGUACAUGUGUUUGAUGGUAGAGGCCAUAACAGAAUAUGGCCAGCAUACUGUGAUCUGCCGACCCAAUUAAGAUACUGGCCAUGGCUUCUAAUUUGUGUUUUACACUGUUCAGAGAUAAACAUUUAAAAUUUGUUGCAUUGCAAUCUGUUUGGUUGUAAAGAUUUGACUUACGAAGCAAGAAGUGUUCAUGAACGAGGUUUAAGGAUGCCAGGGGUGACUCAGAAGGAAAGGCGCUAGGACAGCAAGGAUCAGGGAAGCAGCGCUUUUCUCUUUGCAAGUCAUAAAACACAAUGCCUGAAAGAGCUAAUAAGCCUUGUUAUCUAAUUAUGUCUAAUAAUAUGCUUGUGGCCUUCUGGAAUUAAGAGGCAGGGCACACACCCUGGAUAAUCCAGUAACAAGCCAUUUUAUAAAUGUGGUUGAAAACACAGUCCUAGCUGCCCAGCACCUGGCCCUGGGUCACUGUGGAAAAUUUGCAGGAGUCCUGUUACCAUCCCAGGAACUCUGGUUAUCAGGAAGGCCCAGGAAACUUCAGGGAACACUUGCUUUUAAAGAUAAGGCAGCAACUCCUUUUCUCUGCUUAAUAACUUGCUUUACUGAAUCUCAUUCUUUGCACUCAACUUGCACAGGACCUGCUGCACAGCAGGGAAGUCCUUGAAUGGCUGAAAUCUUCUUCCAGCCAGGUGGGUUGUCAGGCACCCUGGACCAGGGCAACAGCUCCUCCAGAGCCAGCUCCCUGGGUGCCUGGCCUGCAGGAGCCACUGGCUCAGCACUAACUAGCAGAUGUUGCCUGCUGCCCUGGGUCCUUUGGUGCCCUCGUGUGGACCUGCAAGGAACUGUCAUCCCCAUGUUAAGAUGACGGAAGUGCCCGUCAGAUGGCUGACAAGGGAGGCCCGGAGGUUCCCAAGCUGGUCUCCAGCAGAUCUGCCUCUGGAUCCAGUGAUCUGUCAGCCAUUAGAUAGCAGCUGUGAAUGCAGACUUGAGCCAGCACAGGGAGAGCAAAACACUAAGGGCCAUCAGCAAAGGAGUGAGGCACAGUGACAAUCAACCUAUGCUAAUGAAAGACUGGGGAAGAGGACACUCAGAACCUGAAGCUAGUAAUUUAACAAAUAGGGAAUCUAAAAACCUGAAUUUGAAGAUUUGCAUUGUUAUCAGAAGACCACAGCCGGUGGAAACAAAAACCAGAGUUUUAAAUACCUCCCCAGCAUCAAACACGCAAGGCUUAGAAAAUCAAAUGGUUUACAGUCACGCAUUGCUUAAUGUCAGGGGUACAUUCUGAGAAAUGCAUCAUUAGGCGAUUUCGUGGUUGUGCAAGCAUCAUAGAGUACAUACACAAACCUCGAUGGCACAGCUUACUGCGUAUCUAUGCUGUAGAGUACAGCCUAUUGCUUCUGGGCUACAAACCUGGACAGCAUGUGACUAUACUGAAUACUGGAGGCAACUGUGACACAAUAAUAAUCAUUUGUGUAUCUAAACAUAGAAAAGAUAUGGUAAAAAUACCGUAUUAUAAUCUUAUGGAUUAAUAUAUAUAUGAGGUCUGUCAUUGACCAAAAUGUCAUGAUGUGGCACAUGACUGUAUUUAAAAGAUAGACAGAGGCUGGUACUUAGGAUCCUAGAAAAUACUCAUUACUCUAGCACUAAAUUAUUUCCAGAGUUCUGUGCAGGUUCAAAUUGUACAAAAAUGUGCAAUAAAAUAUUUAUGC